AACGCACCUUGCGCCCCUUGGUAUUCCGAGGGGCAUGCCUGUUUGAGUGUCGCGUUAAUCUAUCACCCCCGUUCUGUCAUGGAGCGUCGGGUGGAUUUGGACCGUGCUGCGCUAGCGGCUCGUCUUGAAAUGCAUCGGCCGGUUGUUUAUGAGGGCCUCUCGUGGUGUGAUAAUUGUCAUCGCCGCCUGGGUUCUUUUGCCGGCCUCGUCGCCCUCGGGCAACUUCUUGCGCUUUGACCUCAAAUCAGGUAGGACUACCCGCUGAACUUAA
rnacentral:misc_RNA from 1 species